GCUAAGAUUGCAAGGGAAGUGGUUGCAAUACCAGUUUCCACAGUGGCAUUUGAAUUUGCCUUUAGCACUGGAGAGUGUAUUCUUGAUGAUUAUAGGAGUUCCUGACUCCAAAGAUGGUAGAGGCACUGAUUUGCACACAAAACUGGUUAAAGUCAUCUUGUAUCUCUUCAGAAGUUGAAUCAUCAUCCAUUGAUGAGAUGGAACUCCAUGAGCAGAUCAUUUCAGAGCUCUCGGUUGCUUCCACAUCUAAAAUGGAUAUCGUUGAUUAAUACAUGGUUAAGUUAAGGCUUGCAACUCCUCUUGAAUGCUUUGGACCUUGACUUUGGGAAUAAAUUAGUAGAUGUCAUCUC